CCUACGGGUGGCAGCAGUGGGGAAUAUUGCACAAUGGUGGAAACCCUGAUGCAGCGACGCCGCGUGAGUGAAGAAGUAUUUCGGUAUGUAAAGCUCUAUCAGCAGGGAAGAAAAUGACGGUACCUGAUUCAGAAUCCCCGUCCAACUACGUGCCAGCAGCCGCGGCUAUACGGAGGAAGCAAGCGUUAUCCGGAUUUACUGGGUGUAAAGGGAGCGUAGUGGGGAGCACAAGUCAGUAGUGAAAUGCCGGGGCUUAACCCCGGAACUGGUUUGGAUACUGUGCAGCUAGAGUGCAGGAGAGGUAAGCGGAAUUCGUGGUGUAGCGGUGAAAUGCGUAGAUAUUAGGAAGAACACCAGUGGCGAAGGCAGCUUACUGAACUGUGACUGACGUUGAGGCUCGAAAGCGUGGGGAGCAAACAGGAUUAGAUACCCCUGUAGUC
rnacentral:rRNA from 1 species